UACAGAGGUCUCAAGCGUUGUUCGGAAUCACUGGGCGUAAAGCGUGCGUAGGCUGUUUCGUAAGUCGUGUGUGAAAGGCGCGGGCUCAACCCGCGGACGGCACAUGAUACUGCGAGACUAGAGUAAUGGAGGGGGAACCGGAAUUCUCGGUGUAGCAGUGAAAUGCGUAGAUAUCGAGAGGAACACUCGUGGCGAAGGCGGGUUCCUGGACAUUAACUGACGCUGAGGCACGAAGGCCAG
rnacentral:rRNA from 1 species